GCGGGUAUGGCGGAAUGGCAGACGCGCCAGAUUUAGGUUCUGGUGUCUCAGACGUGCAGGUUCAAGUCCUGUUACCCGCACCA
rnacentral:tRNA from 4 species